AAAUCGAACAGCAAACAGGGAGGCCGGCGAAUAACGGGGCCGAUUUGGUUUGUAUUCCGAUGACUGAGAGGUUGUGUAACAACGCGUGGGAUGCAUUUAAUGUCCUCCCAAGUGUCGUACAUUAAGAUAUACGUAUCCGAGCGAAUACGAGAGAGGUGUAUGGAGAUAAGGGAUAUUUUCGUCAAAGGACAGAAAAUCCGGCCUAAAUCUGUAAAAUAAAAAAAAAAUAAUUUAUAUUUGCAAAAGUUUAAAAUUAGAUAAAUUUUUUCAUAUAAAAAUUGUAGUAAAAA
rnacentral:lncRNA from 1 species